GACGAACGCUGGCGGCGUGCUUAACACAUGCCAGUCGAACGGAAAGGCCCUGCUUUUGUGGGGUGCUCGAGUGGCGAACGGGUGAGUAACACGUGAGUAACCUGCCCUUGACUUUGGGAUAACUUCAGGAAACUGGGGCUAAUACCGGAUAGGAGCUCCUGCUGCAUGGUGGGGGUUGGAAAGUUUCGGCGGUUGGGGAUGGACUCGCGGCUUAUCAGCUUGUUGGUGGGGUAGUGGCUUACCAAGGCUUUGACGGGUAGCCGGCCUGAGAGGGUGACCGGCACAAUUGGGAAUGAGAUACGGCCCAGACCCCCACGGGAGGGAGGAGUGGGGAAUAUUGCAAAAGGGGCGGAAGCCUGAUGCAGCAACGCCGGGGGGGGGAUGACGGCCUUGGGGUUGUAAACCGCUUUCGCCGGUGACGAAGCGUGGGUGACGGUAAUGGGUAAAGAAGCACCGGCUAACUACGU
rnacentral:rRNA from 1 species